rnacentral:rRNA from 1 species
UGGGGAAUAUUGCACAAUGGGGGAAACCCUGAUGCAGCAACGCCGCGUGAAGGAUGAAGGUUUUCGGAUCGUAAACUUCUAUCAACAGGGACGAAACAAAUGACGGUACCUGAAUAAGAAGCCCCGGCUAACUACGUGCCAGCAGCCGCGGUAAUACGUAGGGGGCAAGCGUUAUCCGGAAUUACUGGGUGUAAAGGGAGCGUAGGCGGCACGUCAAGCCAGAUGUGAAAGCCCGGGGCUUAACCCCGUGGAUUGCAUUUGGAACUGGCGAGCUAGAGUACAGGAGAGGAAAGCGGAAUUCCUAGUGUAGCGGUGAAAUGCGUAGAUAUUAGGAAGAACACCAGUGGCGAAGGCGGCUUCUGGACUGAAACUGACGCUGAGGCUCGAAAGCGUGGGGAGCAAACAGGAUUAGAUACC